rnacentral:rRNA from 1 species
GGAGUCUGGGCCGUGUCUCAGUCCCAAUGUGGCCGGCCAACCUCUCAGUCCGGCUACUGAUCGUCGCCUUGGUGAGCCGUUACCUCACCAACCAGCUAAUCAGACGCGAGGCCAUCUCAGAGCAAUAAAUCUUUGGCAGUCAGAGCCAUGCGACCCAACUGCAUUAUGCGGUAUUAGCGGCCGUUUCCAGCCGUUAUUCCCCACUCCAAGGCAGGUUCCUCACGCGUUACUCACCCGUCCGCCACUAAGAACCGUCCCGAAGGGCGAUUCUCCGUUCGACUUGCAUGUGUUAAGCACGCCGCCAGCGUUCAUC